rnacentral:rRNA from 1 species
GAUCAUGGCUCAGGAUGAACGCUAGCUACAGGCUUAACACAUGCAAGUCGAGGGGAAACGAUAGAGAAAGCUUGCUUUUCUAGGCGUCGACCGGCGCACGGGUGAGUAACGCGUAUCCAACCUUCCGUACACUCAGGGAUAGCCUUUCGAAAGAAAGAUUAAUACCUGAUGGUAUGAUGAGAUCGCAUGGUAUCAUCAUUAAAGAUUUAUCGGUGUACGAUGGGGAUGCGUUCCAUUAGGUAGUAGGCGGGGUAACGGCCCACCUAGCCGACGAUGGAUAGGGGUUCUGAGAGGAAGGUCCCCCACAUUGGAACUGAGACACGGUCCAAACUCCUACGGGAGGCAGCAGUGAGGAAUAUUGGUCAAUGGGCGAGAGCCUGAACCAGCCAAGUAGCGUGAAGGAUGAAGGUCCUACGGAUCGUAAACUUCUUUUAUACGGGAAUAAAGUAUCCUACGUGUAGGAUUUUGUAUGUACCGUAUGAAUAAGCAUCGGCUAACUCCGUG